rnacentral:rRNA from 1 species
UGAGGAAUAUUGCACAAUGGGCGAAAGCCUGAUGCAGCGACGCCGCGUGGGUGAAGAAGGUUUUCGGAUCGUAAAACCCUUUUCUGUGUGACGAGAACGGACGGUAGCACAGGAAUAAGUCUCGGCUAACUACGUGCCAGCAGCCGCGGUAAAACGUAGGAGACAAACGUUAUCCGGAGUUACUGGGCGUAAAGGGCGUGCAGGCGGCAGUCUAAGUCUGGCGUGAAAUAUCCCGGCUCAACCGGGGAAGGUCGUCGGAUACUGGGCAGCUAGAGGACGGUAGAGGCGUGUGGAGUUCCGGGUGUAGUGGUGAAAUGCGUAGAGAUCCGGAGGAACACCAGUGGCGAAGGCGACACGCUGGGCCGUACCUGACGCUAAGACGCGACAGCAUGGGGAGCAAACAGGAUUAGAUACCCUCGUAGUCCCUGAGCGGGCUGGCAAGGCGCAU